rnacentral:lncRNA from 10 species
CAGGAAAGUUGUUUACUGAAACUAAAACAGGGAGGCACAAAGGAUAAGGAAGUUAGUUUGGCUUUGGAAGUAGGGAACAAAGAACAAGGACACUGAACAAGCUAAAUCUUUGAAGAGGAACUUCUUUUGUAUCUGACAAAGGUCUUCAAGGAAGAAGGGAGAGAGUGACCUUUCUAGGUUUUAUGGUUGAUGCUGGUGGAGAGGAGUUCUAGUUUCUAAGAUUUACCUUGAGGAAGAAGAACUGUAGUUUCUGUGGCUUGCAGACAAGCAAAGCAAAGCUGAUAAGCAUCAU